rnacentral:misc_RNA from 1 species
GAAAUGCGAUUAGUAAUGUGAAUUGCAGAAUUCAGUGAAUCAUCGAAUCUUUGAACGCACAUUGCGCCCGCCAGUAUUCUGGCGGGCAUGCCUGUUCGAGCGUCAUUUCAACCAUCAAGCCCCCGGCUUGCGUUGGGGACCUGCGGCUGCCCGCAGGCCCUGAAAAACAGUGGCGGGCUCGCUGUCACACCGAGCGUAGUAGCAUACAUUCUCGCUCAGGGCGUGCUGCGGGUUCCGGCCGUUAAACGACCUUCAUAACCCAAGGUUGACCUCGGAUCAGGUAGGAAGACCCGCUGAACUUAAGC